GCAGCGCGAGAGCAGCGGUUGUUGUUGGUCAGCAGCGUUUCGGGUCUGAGGUAUUUCUGAGAAAGACACUGUGAUUUUUAAAAAAACAUUAACCUUAUUUUAAAGCUUAAUUCUUUUUGUAUUUCAGAUACGUUAUGAGUAGAAGAGCUAACUCAGUUUCUAGAGGGUUUUUGUUAGAAAAAGGGUUUGAUUAGAAACUUUAGCUUACGGAAGCUUCUGUGCACGUGGAAGACUUGUUCAUUAAUUUGGUAAACGUUACUUAAGAUGUUAACGGAGGAAUCCCUGUGAACAGACCCGAGCUGACGCCUGGUCUUCAUGCUGAUGUGCGUCCAGAACUGGUUCUGCUAAUGAAGACCAUCUCAUAAACUACACACACAGCAGAUCAUUUUUUGUUUUUGAUUUUUUUUUCUUUUAAAUAAAUUUGUGAA